GUUUAGUUUAUCUGUGCAGAGUUUGUAACUUACUUGUAGGUCCAGCAAGUAUCGGCAUAGCAAGAUUUCCUGAAGUGGAAAUGAGUACAGACCACAGCAGCACAGCCUGCUUGACUGUAAGAGACUUGUACAUAACAUAGCUCCCACUAAUUCUUCAUUCAACAGAAAACCUGCUGGAUAAAAGUACACUCAUCUAAUGACCAGAAUAAGGAAGGAUUAGAGGAAACAAUGCAGACACUCUGAAGCAGAGAGAACUGAUCACCCAGGAAAGUGACUUGGGAGAAACAGUGUAGAAGAAUUGUGACAUCUUUGAGAUCAGCGAAACUCGAACAUGGCAUAGACCAGAACAAGAUCUCCCUUGGAGAGCAGUGCCACAGGAGGAGUCUAAGUGUGCACAACAAAUACACCACUAUUACAUCGCAUCCUUAAUAUCCAUAGCAGUUGUGGGCUGCAUUUUCCUACUUUAGUUUGAUUUCUUUGGAUUGAAUAGGCCAUACUUUCAUCUCGGCUCUCCCCAGCAAGCGUGCACAUUUGGAAGGACUCAGAGAAGAGCUGAUGCACAUCAAUCGAGAACUGCUGGGCAUCCAGGAAGAGUGUGCACAUGUACAUUUGUACUUGUCCUGAAGGGUCACCCAGAAGA
ensembl:lncRNA